AUAACUAAAAUUGAAACCCGAAAAAGAGAGAAACAAAUAAAUAUCUUAAUAGAAGUACGAUCAACCGUUAUCUCGUGUGUCUACUAAAUCAAUUUCUAGAUGGGCCAACAAUUCAUUGUUUGGCCAGUUGCAACAAUAACAACAAGUUGUUAGUUUGGUCUAGUUAAAAUAGCCUAUUGGCCAUUUCAGUGUGGUAUGGAGUGUGCAGCGCCAAUCAGCUCACGUGACACUGAUUGCCAUGAUGUAACCCCAAUAACGAGGGAUGAAGACGAAUCCAACUACGAAUACAACAUAUUUCCACCCGACGGAGGAUAUGGCUGGAUCGUUACAGCUGCCAGUUUGUGGUGUUUACUCAUUUCAGAUGGAAUCCUCUUCAGUUUCGGAUUAACACUUUCGGAUUUGAAACGAGUGUUUGACCUGCCCGUUGCUCAAGUGGCGUGGAUCUUCUCCAUCGUCAAUGGCAGCUCAUUAAUCUCAGGUCCCGUUGCUUCUGCAUUGAGUAAUCGAUUUGGUUUCCGAACUGUCGUUAUAACCAGCAGCUUAAUUGGGUCUGUUGGGUUAUUGAUCUUUUCAUUCACUCAGUCUAUCGAUAGUCUGUCUUUUACGCUCGGCGUGCUGUUUGGAGUUGCAGACGGUUUUGUGUUUACACCCAUUGUCGUCGGAGUGGGCUUCUAUUUCGACAAAAGGCGAGCUUUAGCUACUGGAAUUGCUCUCUGUGGAUCUGGAGCAGGUACUUUUGUUUUUGCUCCAGUCAUCUACUUGCUUCUGGAAACGUACACCAUCAGUGGAGCACUCCUAAUUCUGAGUGGGAUUUGCACAGUACUUAGAUCAUUACUUGUUCCAUUGAAACGUCAAUGACGGAGAAGACUGCAGGAAGUUGUGAACCUGCUUGUUGAUGAAAUUGUAACACAAUCAGUAGACAUCCCACAGUCCUUUAAUGACGCCUUAAUGAAGCUAAAGUUAUUCGUCAAAAUGAAUUGAAAGCUCGGAACAAUUUGAUGACGGGAUAGGUAUACUGGAAUAACAGUUUCUGCCAGUCAAUCAGAUGGUUUGUGCCGUCCGUGUAUCUCACGGCGCACGCCACUAAAAUGGGAAUACCGUAAAUGGAUGGUUACCGUAUUAUUUAUGAAUAAUAUUGGCUUGUCAGUGGCUGGUGUAUUGAUAACUAUGUGCCCGUUAUUCGCCUCCUAUGAGUUCCUUGUGAUGUUUGCAGCCCUUUUUCGGGCUGGCUUCCUGGAAGUUAUUUUUGUAGACUUAAACUAUAACUAGGAAACGAUUUAAUUUUACUUUUGAAUAGCCUGCACUACUGUCAUUCGUCCAAUUUUGCUGAGAAAGCCGCUCGGGUUGGAAAACGUCAGCAAUGGUUACAGCUUCAUGCUCAUGUUUUACGGAGUGGCCACCCUCUCAGGAAUUCCUAUUGCUGUUUCGCCACUGCUUCAGUCGUCGUUGAAGAGGAUGCAACUAAUUGCCCGGCACUAUCCACUGUGAUUGCUCUGUGUUAUUCAGGAAUAGGUGCCUUGAUAUUUGCUCCUGUUAUCUACUUUUUAAUGGAUAUUUUCGCCAUGACAGAAGCAAAUUAUUAUAUGACUUGUUUAUAUUUAGUCUUCGCACUAUUUGGAUGGCUACCAAUGUUAGUUGGCUACCUAUGUUGGAAGAACCAAGAUGUGCAGGAUUUGCCAGCAGAGAAUGCCGACCCUCAAAACCAGGAGCAGCAAAACGGAGGCGACCCAAUCAGAGAAGAAUCCAUUCCAAACCGUUCGACAAACAGGUUGAGCAACCUCUUGCCAUUCACCUCCCCUACUUUAGUUGCAGUUUCUAUCGCGAGUUUCUUUCAGUCAUCUGGUCUUUUUGUGCCGAUAAUGCAUCUGCCGGUUCAUGCCAUCAAUAUGGGAAUAUCAAAGGUGGAAGCGUAUUUUUUAAUAUCUGCUAUUGGAAUAGCAAGCAUGAUCGGCCGUAUUUUUAACGGAUGGCUUUGUAGCAAACCUAACUUUAACGUGCGUUUUUGGAAUAGUGCCGGCUUAGCAGUAUCAGGGUUUUUGGUAACUUUUUGCCCGUUAUUCACCUACUAUUCGUGGCUAGUCGUAUUUUCAGUACUCUUCGGGCUGGCUUCUUCUUGCACCGUCGUUCCUCAUCCCACUGAACUCGUGAAGCUACUGAAAUUGGAAGACGAUCCGAAAGGUUUGAACAUCGCACACUUUUUUUACAAAUGCAGUGCCUACGUAGGAUUUUUUGUUGCUGUUGUGCUUUACAAUGUUUUCGGCCAUUAUCGUGUUUCCUUCUACGUUGCCGGUUUUUUCGUUCGCCUUUCUGCUGUUCUUUGCUGGUAUUUAUUCAGGAUUAAUGGAUGGGAGCGAGGGCGUGACAACUAAGAAUUCAAGUCAUUUAUGUUGCACUUCGAUUUUGCAAGAAAAUGUUUUCAUUGAAUUCUGACGUCCUCAUCGGCCUAGAGUGAUGUUUAAGGAUAACAUCCUGCCUUAUUUUAUAUCACUGAAUAGGUUGGGAUAAACACCUCAUUCUCAUUUCGGUCAUGUUUGCUUUCUUAGGUUUUGUUAAAAGAAUACAGUUUUACCGUUCCA